rnacentral:rRNA from 1 species
UUUGCUGACGAGUGGCGGACGGGUGAGUAAUGUCUGGGAAACUGCCUGAUGGAGGGGGAUAACUACUGGAAACGGUGGCUAAUACCGCAUAACGUCGCAAGACCAAAGAGGGGGACCUUCGGGCCUCUUGCCAUCAGAUGUGCCCAGAUGGGAUUAGCUUGUUGGUGAGGUAACGGCUCACCAAGGCGACGAUCCCUAGCUGGUCUGAGAGGAUGACCAGCCACACUGGAACUGAGACACGGUCCAGACUCCUACGGGAGGCAGCAGUGGGGAAUAUUGCACAAUGGGCGCAAGCCUGAUGCAGCCAUGCCGCGUGUAUGAAGAAGGCCUUCGGGUUGUAAAGUACUUUCAGCGGGGAGGAAGGUGUUGUGGUUAAUAACCACAGCAAUUGACGUUACCCGCAGAAGAAGCACCGGCUAACUCCGUGCCAGCAGCCGCGGUAAUACGGAGGGUGCAAGCGUUAAUCGGAAUUACUGGGCGUAAAGCGCACGCAGGCGGUCUGUCAAGUCAGAUGUGAAAUCCCCGGGCUCAACCUGGGAACUGCAUUCGAAACUGGCAGGCUUGA